UACGUAGGAGACGAGCGUUGUCCGGAAUUACUGGGCGUAAAGCGCGUGUAGGCGGAUGGGCAAGUCUGCUGUGAAAGCUCCUGGCUUAACCGGGAGUGGUCGGUGGAAACUGCCCGUCUGGAGGACGGUAGAGGUAGGUAGAAUUCCCGGUGUAGUGGUGAAAAUGCGUAGAGAUCGGGAGGAAUACCUGUGGCGAAGGCGGCCUACUGGGCCGGACCUGACGCUGAGACGCGAAGGCGUGGGGAGCGAACGGG
rnacentral:rRNA from 1 species